GUCUAUGGCCAUACCACCCUGAACACACCUGAACUCAUGUGAUCUUGGAAGCCAAGCAGGGUGGGGCCUGGCUAGUAUUUGGAUGGGAGAAACAGCUCCUGGCUUGUCAUUAAAAUCCCGAUACAGUUGAAA
ensembl:rRNA 5S_rRNA 5S ribosomal RNA